rnacentral:lncRNA from 1 species
GCCUAGAACGAUCCCUACUUACAUACUUUACUACAUUUGAUAAAAAGCGGGUUUAAUUUUGUGUGUUAACUUAUUUUUCACAUCAAGAGAUACCAUAUUCAGUUUAAGAAAUAGUCAGCGCCAACAUGUGUUCAAUUUCAAAAAUUAUGCCGUGUUAGUUUAAAAAAUAAUGUAGUACCUUUGUUUAUUUUCAGAAAUAGUGCAGUAACGUUCAGUUUCAGAAAUAGGGUGUCUGAUGGACACACGCUUGUCAAUUUUCAUUAUUUUUUUUCUAUUUUAUUUUCUGUUAUAUUAAACUUUUGACCUUUUCAUUAAAAUUUAAGUCAUUUUCAUUAAAUAAAGUUAUAAGACGAUUUUUAGUUAAAAUAAACUUUGCUCAAACCCUUUUAAUUAAAGAUUCCUAGAAGUAAAUGAGUCAUAAUGUAGUCCUUUGAUUUAUAACCGUCAUAACGAUCUUUCUUUUUAGUUUAAUAAAAUUAUAUUUUUUUGUAGUCGGUUAGUUCAUCAGUUUGUUUAUCAUACUUACUCUAAUUUUCAACUAAAUCCACAAAAAUCCGCAAGUUAAUAAAAUCCUACAAAAUUCAUAAUUUUUUAAUACUUAAAAUCUUAAUUGACAACGUAUGAAUUUACAUGAAUUCUUAAAUUAUCUUUACAAAUUGUAAUUGACUUUAUUAGAAUUUUAACAUUUUUUUAAGUUCAUGUAAAUCCUAAUUUGACUGCACAUUUGAAAAGUCAUACUUAUUCAUUCACACUUUCUAAAAUUAGUGAAUCCACAGAGCUCAUGCAUUUUUGUUAUAAAAGUGGAUGACCCACAUGAAAAAAAUGCACCGUCCCCAGCUUCUUGCCAGCCAAAUGUUAAAGUUCUUGUCAGGUAACAAAUGUUGAAGGUGUGCUGCAUCCUUUCACAUCUCUUGACCUUAAUAGAGAAAAUAUAGUUUUUCUAUAUAAAGGCUUAUCAACUCACAAAUAUGCAGAGAUAAUAGAGAGGUAAACAUACAAUCUUUUGUUUCCAUUACUUUGUAAUUUCAAUUUGAUAAUGAGAGAGACUAUUGCUACUGUCCCAACGAUGUAGACACACUUGUCGAACCUCACAAAUAUUAUGCCUCACUUUAUUCCACUGCACACAUAUCCUCAAUUUCAAAACACGUUAUCAGCACGAGAAGCUCUCAUGUCAGUGGAAAGCACAACGCCAUAAAUCCGGUGAAGCAUUACAUACCAUUCAUCUCUGUCAGCUGGAAUCUCCGAAUAAGAAAAUCAUUUUACUUUAUCUUCAUACUUUUGUACUACUAAUUUUCUUAAAGCAAGUAUACAUUUCACAUAUAUAUAUUAUUAUUGGUAGAAAAUCUGAUAGCCAUGUAAACAACCUUUGAACUCCAAUUUCCUAAUCUCAAAUUGAAAUAACUUCUUCUUGAAAGUUGUUCAUUGGCCCAGUACCUAUAACAUAUCCAAAUUUCAGAAAAAUCCAACAGUAUGAUCAUCGCAAAUGUUUAAAAUACCAACCCAGUUUCCAAUUCCAUAAAAAACUGGACAACCAUCUUAUGAGUGCCAAAACUCCAUUUUAAGUAGCUCAAAACAAAACGGAUUCUUCACGAAAGUUAUUCAUUGCCUUCUUGUUGCUACCAAACUAAAAUUUUGGUUAGAUCCAACAGUUUGAUCUUCCUAUAAUUCUCAAAUACUACCGUUGAUACAUGACCAUUGUUAGAAAGAAAAAGGGAAGUAUAGUAAGUUAAUAUUUAUUUUUUCCUUAUGAUUAUUAAUCUUGCUAUUAAUGUGGUUGGUGUGGUAUAAUCGCCCAUCAUACAUUAAUAUAUAUGUGAACGGCGUGGUACUGUCGUCUUUCUUACAAUAACAAUUAUUAUCUAAGUUUUGAUAUUAUGUGAAUGAUGCUGAAUUAAAGCCCUUGUCAAAAUCAUUAUUAUUUAAAGCAAUUCAUUUAUAGUGGCUGAAAUUACCGUCAUCUUUUUUAAUUUACUUAUUGUACUACAUUUUGUUAUGAUGAGUAUAUACAAGAACCGAAGUUCCUUGAUCAAACUAGAACCUAAAGUUUUUUUUAUCCUCCUUAUAUAAAAGGAUCAGAUCUAAAGUUCCUUGAUCAUCAUUAUAUAAAAAGAUUGGACCUAAAGCUCCACCAUAUAAAAAGAUCAGACCUGAAGUUUUUUUAUAAUCAUCGUAUUAAAAGAUUAGACUCGAAGUUCCUUGAUUAAAAUUAAAAACUUGAAGUUUUUAAAUCAAUUGAGAGAAAAGCGUUUCCUCAACUAAAUUAAAAUGAUGGCUAUAAGUGCCUUAGUCCACAAACUAUUAAAUGAGGACCAGAAGUUCCUUGAUUCAUGUAAAUUAAGAACAUAAAUUGCUUAAUCCAUGUACAGAUUAAGUAUGAGCAUUGUGGAGCUAAAAAUAAUCAAGAAUAUGGAGGUGACACGUGGAUUAUAGAGUAAAAAGGACAAAACCACCAUUGAGGAACACCGGAACUCCUACACGAGUAGUAGACAAUCAUCCCUCAAUCAAGUCAAAAGUGCCCAAAAUAGGUAUUUAUUUAAAACCUGUUUCAUCCAUCCUCAUCAAAUAUUCUCCACAAGGUAACCCCCAAAUCUUUCCUUUCAAAUUAUAUUAAUUAGCUAAUUAAUUGAUUUAUUAUUCAAUUAAUUUAUUAAUUAGCUACCAAUCAUGAAUCUCACCCAAAAAACCAUCCAAGUGGCUGGUCCAUCUCCUCCCAGAGGGGCCGGCCAUACCUUUAUAUAAACACCCUCAUUUUCUACAAAACCUAAGUUCUACACUCUUGCCAAAUUCUCUAAAUUCUCCAAACACUUUUCCCUCAAAAUUCUAACUUUGGCAUUGGAGGUUCUUCGGCCAAAGCUCCCCAUUCAUUGUGGGUGCAUGAGGCUCUUGGCCUUGACCUAAGGUGUUGUUUGUUUUGUAGGUGCAAUUUUGUCCAAGAACAAGGAGGAAGAAAUUUGCAUCCACAAAUUGGUGCUUUCGUUGAGAGUUGAGUCACAUGCUCGUAGAAGACUCUCGCAUCUAAGGUUUUUUGCUUCUUUGCUUAUUUGUAGAUUUUUCGUAUGUUCUUAUUCUUGGAAUUUUUAUUUCUAAAAAUUCUUUGAUAAAACGAUAAGCGAUUCGAAAACCUCAACAAGUGAAAAUUCUUUAAAAGUACAAUGGCAAGAGAUUUGGAAACCUCAACAAGAGAAAAUUCCAACGUUCAAGGAUUAGGACCGGGACAAUCUACAAGGCUCAACAUAGUGCUGAGCGGAGCAGCACCCCCACGAGGCACCACCGUGGCAACAACCACAUCAGCCAC